AGACCAGGGGCUGAGUGCAGAUUCCUCCCCGUGCCAUCUGCAAAGCCUAAGGAGGAAAACAUACAAACAAGCUGAAGCCACCCCUCCUCCGGGGCCUAAAGUCUGCACGUGGAAGCACAAGCAGCAGAAAUUGGGCCCAAUACUUACAGUCCAUAGAGUAAACUAUCUGACAGUGAUCUUCUAACAUAUUGUGGUAAGAAAAAAAUAUUUCAUAUCUCUAGUUUACUUCAAAAUUUAAUGAUCAUACUCAUUGUAAAUUAAGUCUGCUUCCUUUGAUAUAACAGGAAAAAGUUCCAGAGUCUGACAGUGUUUUAACCAGAAUUGGAACUCAAGUUUUUCUAUGUUCCGCACAGUAUUCUAUUCUUCUGAUGCCCUCCCACACUCUCCCUGAGCAGGAUCACUUCAGGAAUAUGUGGCAUGUGUUAUAUUAUUUUAUCCCCACUUACUCUUAGCUUUUCUCAAUCACUUGAACUAUAAACAACCAUUAAUACUACUCUAAACUGAUCUGUGAUCCCUCCCAAGGGGCUGUCCCCAAUCCAACUAAUUAAAGUCUUUUGAAAAUGUA